rnacentral:lncRNA from 1 species
CAGCGCUCCUUCCUUCUGAGUAUGGGACAGGACCUCCUCUGGAAUGGGGAUCUUAUGACCUACAAGCCAAACAAAAAUAAAAUCAAAUGAGGACCUGGAGGGCCUUUGAUCACAGAGUUGGAGACAGUCCCCCAGGGGAUGGCAGAUGAAGAUGAAGGAACUACAGUCCCAGAAUGUUUUCAGUGAGAAAUGCCUCCUCAGCUUGGGGCUUCUUAGCUUUAGAUUCUUAUGUGAAAAAGAAAGAAAUGUCCAGC